UCCACGCCCUAAACGAUGAACACUAGUCGUCGGGAUGCUAGUCAUCUCGGUGAUGCACUUAACAGAUUAAGUGUUCCGCCUGGGGAGUACGGUCGCAAGAUUAAAACUCAAAGGAAUAGACGGGGACCCGCAACGAGCGCAACCCUCGUCCUUAGUUGCCAGCAGGUUAAGCUGGGCACUUUAAGGAGACUGCCUUCGUAAGGAGGAGGAAGGUGAGGACGACGUCAAGUCAUCAUGGCCCUUAUGGCUAGGGCUACACACGUGCUACAAUGGGGCGUACAGAGAGUUGCGAUACCG
rnacentral:rRNA from 1 species